rnacentral:rRNA from 1 species
UACGUAGGGCGCAAGCGUUGUCCGGAAUUAUUGGGCGUAAAGAGCUCGUAGGCGGCUUGUCGCGUCGAAUGUGAAAUCUCAGGGCUCAACUCUGACAUUGCAUUCGAUACGGGCAGGCUAGAGUUCGGUAGGGGAGACUGGAAUUCCUGGUGUAGCGGUGAAAUGCGCAGAUAUCAGGAGGAACACCGGUGGCGAAGGCGGGGUCUCGUGGGCCGAUACUGACGCUGAGGAGCGAAAGCGUGGGGAGCGAACAGG